AAUAACCUUAUUUUUCGUUUUUCCGUGUCCAACGUUUAACCAUUCGUCUUAUUUAAAAAAUUUAUAAAAAACUAAAAAAAAUUAGUCACAUAUAAAAAUACUAUUCAUAUUUUAUCAUGUAGUAAUAAUAAAAAUAUUAAUCGCAAAAAAAUUUCAAAUAAGACAAAUGGUCAAACGUUGGACACGGAAAAACA
rnacentral:pre_miRNA from 1 species